GCACAUGCGCAGUAGAGCAGGACUUUCCAGCAACAGCGGGGACUGAAACUUUUGGAAGAAGAAGCAAGCUUUUUGAGUCUCUAGAAACCGUGGAAGACCAGCCUCCUGUGAAACUGAUGUUGGAACGCUGGCCAGCUCUUUUCAGAAAACAACAGGUUUUUUCAGAAUUCACAAGAGUAGCAAGCAAAGAUCUUGAGCAAGACUUUUUUGAGUCCUUGGACCGCCAUACCCCACGAUUCCUUGAGAUCUUCAAAUCUAAAAAGGACCAAUGAUGUCAUAGCCAAGUGGACUGCUGUCCUGCGAUGCCUGAAGGCUGAAAUGGUAAAUGGGAAAGUCGCUCCCACCCAUGACCAGACCACACUGAUCACUCCUGGGUGUGCCACUCGACAGCCAACUCUCCCUUCCCGCCAACAUUAUUGCAAAAACCCACUCGUGUAGAUACAUGCUGCACAACAUCCGGAGAAUACGUCCCCUUCUCACUCAGAAGGCGGCACAGGUUCUGGUCCAGGCUCUGGUCAUCUCACGCCUAGACUACUGCAGCUCCCUCCAUGCUGGUCUACACACUACUGCUAUCCGACCGCAGCAGCUCAUCCAGAGUGCAGCAGCUUGGUCUUCAACUUACCCAAAUUCCCUCACACUACUCCGUUCCCUUCACAGUUUACCAGUGGCUGGCCGCAUCCGUUUCAAAACACUAGUACUUGCGUACCGUGCUGUGAACGGAUCGGGUUCAGUCUACAUCCAGGAAAUGGUCAAGCCAUACUCCGCAGCCUGUCCACUCCGCUCUGCAUCUUCCAAUCGGCUUACUGCUCCCUCACUGCGA